rnacentral:rRNA from 1 species
GAGCGCACGGUCUCCGCACCGGCGCCGCCNCUUCAAGUGUCUGCCUUAUCAGCUUCGAUUGUAGGCUAUGCGCCUACAAUGGCUAUAACGGGUAACGGGGAAGUCAGGGUUCGAUUCCGGAGAGGGAGCCUGAGAAACGGCUACCACAUCUAAGGAAGGCAGCAGGCACGCAAAUUACCCACUCCCGGCACGGGGAGGUAGUGACGAAAAAUAACGAUGCGAGACUCAUCCGAGGCCUCGCAAUCGGAAUGAGUACACUUUAAAUCCUUUAACGAGGAUCUAUUGGAGGGCAAGUCUGGUGCCAGCAGCCGCGGUAAUUCCAGCUCCAAUAGCGUAUAUUAAAGUUGUUGCGGUUAAAAAGCUCGUAGUUGGAUUUCAGUUCUGGACUGACGGUUCACCGCCGGUGCACACUGUCACGCUCCGAACAGCCACACAGCCCGCUGGCUCGCGACGGGGU